UCGUGCGGGAUUUCUGCUCGCUUUUUCGAUCGCUUUUGGCGGAAAGCGAUCGAAAAUCCGAGCUACAAAACUGCUCGAUUUUGUCGUGCGGGGCGGGGAGAGAGGGUGUUCAGCGCAACGCGUAAAGUGCGGCAACAGCGCAGCGCAAACCGCGAGAAACGCGAGAGAUGGGGUAACAGCUGAUCCGCGCAUCCAGCGCAACGCAAGAGGAAAGAAAUGGGAGGGAAGGGGUUUCAGCUGAUCAGCUGUUUUGUAUCGAGAGAGCGCCCCGUGAAAUUUGAAGGCAAGCGAGGGAGCGCUAUGCGCGCGCUUGCUCUCUAUUCGGAAAAAAAUCACUGCCGCUCGACUAUGGCGGGCAAUACAAAUUCCACCGAACCUCUUCUCCCUGUUUCUACAUGCUCCUCGCCUGUAAAUUUCUCUCUCUUUGCCUGUAGGGUACUGUCCAUCGAUAUACAAAGAAACAUAAACAUAAACAUAAACAUCUAUAGAUGAUAAAUUUAUCAAUGUUAAAUAGUAUACUAUCCGGUAAAGAGUCAUUUAACCAUGUUUCUGUUCACGCAUUGAUAUCAUAUUCGGCUUCGUCGGCCGCUAGUCGCAGAUAUCAGUACAUUUGGAUCGUAGUCUGGCAGUAUUUUGGUAAUAAAUGCUAAGCUAUUCAUUUGGCAAACGCAGUAAUGAUGAAUCAUUGGACACUAAUCAUUGUUUAGCAUAGUCUGUACAUGUGCGUUUAACAGUAGCAGGAAGGUAGUCUGGUAGAGAUCGGUCCGACUGCUUGCGUACAGCUCCUGUAGCCCUCAUAGGUUAAUUAACAGACACUGUUGACGAUGAAGAGAUGGAAACAGGAAUGGUUGAUUGCUGCAGCGGUGAUGAUGGGCAGGUUGGUGUAGUAUUGGUAGUACUCAGCGGGUAAGCAAAGACAACUGACGGCGGCGAGCACUGAGAGGCCAAAGAUCUAUCGAUAGGUCGCUGAGCGUCCAGCGCUCCUGGAUUAGUAGUUGCAGAACUGGUUGUAGAAGGAUCCAAGCGGGCAACAAUAGUCGUGACGAUGUUCGUGUUGGUGAUCUCAUCACGGAGAAGCAGGUAACUCGGUGAGAAUAUCAUUUGUGCAAGCAGCGCAAUGUGAUAAAAAAAUCACUUAAUUCUCAGGCUUUCGACAUACAUGCAACGCACAACGGGCGCUCAUGAAUUAAUCCGCUUUUAUAUCCUUCCUUUUUCCGCGUAUUCUGCGUUCCGCGUCCUCGCUGCCAAUCGUGAUUUGAGUGGAAUGUGCUCUCUCGGUUAGGGCCGGUACCGAACACACUCGCGUGUAUAUUUGGUCCUAUGAGCGCCUAUCAUACUGCAUCCUUUCAUGUACAUGUAGUGUGGUCUUUUUCUAUCGUGUGGAUGUUGCCUGAUUCAAUCGCGUUUGGCGCCUAGAAAUUGUAAUCGAAGCCUCUAACGCGUUUUGAUCAUCAUAGAGUGCACAAUCCAUUCUUACCGAUCCCGACAAGGUUUCAAUUAAUUUGUGCUGUGAUAAUGGCAACACGUCGUGAUAAGCGAAGUGGUAUGGUGUACCAUGCACCUUAGCCUUUCACAAUCCACAGCAAUGGAUAAGUGUAAUGUAAAAACUGAAAAAUAAGAUUGAUUGAAUGUGUUCCAUGUCGUGUCUGGUGUAAUUAAUUUUGUCUUUGGCUAUUUUAGAUAAUCAUUCUUUAUCAAUUGCUGCUCAUUGUGUCUUUUUUUUACUGUACAGAAAAUCUUCCAUCAUCGAAGAGCGAUAGUAAGGAGGAAGGCGCGAUGAGCUACAGCAGCGGUGGUGAUACCGAUACGGACGAUGGUUUGCCACACGAGGUGCCGCUGCAAGAUCGUCUGUUCGGUGCAAGCGUCGUUUGAGGAUCGCUUGAGACUGUGGGAACUACAGACCAGCCAAAUGCAUAGCGCCUUGGCCUUUUUACUUGUCUACAUUAGGCAGCACCAACCGCACUGCAAAUUGCCACUCGAUUCCCGGACGUUCACGCACACACCGGUGUUGAAAUCCCCGGAAGCGGAGAUAACGUCCAUCGGCGGAGGACGUCUGUGGUACAGAGGUGUGGCCACAUGUUUGCAGCGAUAUUGUCGCAAUGUGAAACCUUCAAUCAAGGGUUUUGAGAUCGACUUUUUUGUAGAUGGUAUGCCGCUCUAUAAAAGUAGUCAGGUAAUAGAUGUCAGUUUUGCCCAAUAUGAAUGAAAGUUUUUAAUCUGCCUGAUUCUUCCGUUAUGGUAGUGGUCAUAUUCUGUGGCGAAUCCAAUCUUAGCUAUUAUUCGUACAACGCCUGUCAUAAAUUCCCAUACAGUACAGAGGAUCAAGAAAGGACUAACGAAUUGUUCUGUGAUGAAAAGUACCCGUAUCAUAUCAUCCGCCCUACUCCACAACCUGAUAUGAUAACCUGUGUAAACGGAUUUUGUGUCAGAAUGCAUGCAUGCACCAGACAGAUAAAGGAGUGCUGGUAAGAUAAAUAGACAAAUGGAUUAACGGCCAUCCAGUGGUAAAGUUUAAGCUGUCCCGACAGUAACAGCGUGUUUUCAUCUAAGCCUGCGUUCAAACUUCCUACGAAGGCUUCUAAUGUUGCAUUAUGUCAUGCUUUGGAAGGCUGGUUUACAGGAUGUUUUUCCAUUAUGCAGGUUUCGUGG